UAUAGAGAUUUCGUUUACUUGCAAGCUGUGACGCUGCUGAAAACCUCUGAAUUCAUGAAUUUAUCAUCGAAGGAUGCGUGUUCUCCGAAGCUGGAUGUUGUCGUUCCAGAACAAGGAAUUGGAAGAGACGUGGUUCUGAUGUGAAAUUGGGGGAUUGAGACUUGAGAGUUCAGAUCGGAAUCCUGAUUUGAGUAUAGUUUCGAAAGUUUCACCGAAUUUGGAUGAUGGAGGUUUCAUGGGACUGUUGGAAAUUAAGCAUGGAUAUGAAAGCUUUGGGGUCUGUGUCAUCUGAAAAGGAUAAUCCGGAGAGGCUUAUUGAGCCUCGAGGUCAGGCAAGAGCGUUCCAUACAGAGAAAUAAACGGCAUUCAUAUUGCUGGUGAUUCAGCUUAGUAAAGAAGGUGGUGUAGAUUGUGGUGGUGAUGUACCUGCAAAGAGUAUAUCAGAGAUAGAGGCUAAAACUGAUAACAAUGACUAGACAGAAACUUUAUGUAGAGAAUGCGAAAUUGGAAUCCGAAGCAUCCCCCUUUGAGGCACGAGAUCAUCUGUUGGUUUGUUUGUAUAAUCAAAACAUGGAUGGUCAUUUUCUUGAAUUGAGAUUCACGUAAGAGAUUGUUCGUGGUUAUCUGAGGAGCAAUUUGCCAAGAGUUUUGGGGGUUGUAACGCUAACAAGUUAACAGUGCAAUUUGAGCUACAUUAUGCCUAUUUAUUGCAUUGAUGAAGCUGCAUAUCAAUCUAGCAUCUCUCAAGUGCUCGUCGCUUUAUAAUAGUAUCCAGGGCAAAGAUAUGAGCAAUGCAACCGUAAAUAGGGUCCUCCAUGCGCGCCAGCGCUUCGUACGAUACAGUUAUGGCAGCGUCGCUUCUGCUAUGCUCUGGCAGAUGUGACAGCAGCUUCGACACGUUGCUGGCU